rnacentral:lncRNA from 1 species
CGGCCGCACGGGCCUCUCUCUCUUCUUUCUCUCCUUCCUCUCGUCAUCCCUAUUAUUGCUGGAAAAGACUCCAUCCGGCCACCAUUUAUUGACACCGCCACCACCAAUUGAACCACAACACAAAUCCGAUCAAAACCGGAACCUCACUGUGGCCGGGGCCCGCCUGCAACCACUGGACGCGAGCAUCACAAUUUUCGCCGCCUUGUUCUUCGAUCUUCGUCAGCUUCCGGCCUUCUUUUCAACACACCGCCACCUUGGAACAACUCAGCAGACAAGGAGGAGCAAAACCCAGAGGUUCCGUUACCCACUGAUGCCGAGCGAGGCUGUACUCGCCGUCGCCGGAAACUGGGAUUCUGCAAGGAUCAAUUCGUCGUCUCCGGCGAUAUCUGUGCUACACAACCACCAUUAAUGGGAUCAGCAUCUCCCUUUUCACCAAAACCCUCUGGUUCCGACCUCCAAUUCCGGCUAGAAAUGCCGCACGCGCCGCCGCUGGCGCGUGGAGCACCGUGGCUCCGUUGCCAGAUUUCCAGACAACCUUUAUUAGGUAACUUAUCGUC